UCUCAAUCUUCAUUUUUUGUAGCUUUUGUUGAGUCCAUUUGGGCGAUUGUUAAAUAAAUUACAAUAUUAAGACAUUUUCGUUUGACGGGUUCAAUUUAGAAUUUUACUGUCCCUACGGCCUAUGUUGUAACUUAAUAUCCGAACAAAAUGUGAUGCUUACCAACGUAGAUCUGGCUAUCGUGAAUAGUGCAUAUGUACCAAGCCCUCGACAUUUGCAAGCCACGUGCGUUGCUUCAGGAACUUUCACUUCACAAGCUUUGGUGAUCCAUGUUCUUGGGUCAGACGGAGUGCGAAGACCACAGGCGAGUUUUGAUGCUGAGAAUCAAGGAUUAAUGUCGAGUGGAAUCGAGUUAAAUGAAGAAAUUUCACCUUUUAGUGCAGAACUUAACAAGAGAUCUCUACUACUCUUUCAUGAUUCACUGAUAGCCCUUGCGGUCUUUUUAAAUUGGCUCAAACACCCAUUUGGAAUACAAUUUGAAAAAUCUCAAGCUUUCCUCUUAUCGAAAUUGAUUCGGGACUUGCACAAGAUGCGCUUACAGCUCUGCAAAAUCUGAUUCACGACAAACGGAGUCAUCGAGACUUGAGUUGACAUGUCAUUCUUACAAAAAUUUCCAUUCGUACCGAUUUUAGGUUCGGGGUUUAGGUUAAAGAAAUGGAAUAAAUUGAUUUAAAAUUCAUCUUCCUCACCAACAGCGCUAUAGUUCUUGACAUGAGUGAAUAAUAGGUUCACCGUAUGUUGUAAGCUAUUGUCGACUCCGGGACCAGUGGCGUACAAUUGGAUCUGUUGGGAUGACACCAGAUACUCCAUUUCACGACCGCUCCUAGAAGACGACUGGCUAGAAAUAACGUGAUGAAUGUCGUUGAAAUAAAAAUAAACAAAAUAAUGCACAACUUAAAAAUAAACAUGAAUGCUAAAAGGUACAAGAAAAGAAAAGUAGAACAGAAAUUGAAGAAAAUAUUCUAGAAAUAUUAGAUGGAAAAGAUGAACGAUAAAUGAUUGAUUUUAGUGGUACUGAAGCAUAGCAAUAGAUUUGUCUUUAUCUUAUGUCGCUUUAAUAGUUAUUUGUUUUAGCGAAAAAUUCUAGGCCGGAGCACCUCUUUCUUUAUCUAUUGAAUUUGAGAGUCAUUUAUAAUUUUUUUGUUUCUUUAGUUGACACAUUUGGCAAUAGAAGAAAAAUCGGGAAAACACAGAAAUUGAGAAACUCACUUAUACUCUACAGAUCGCCUUAAAGAAGAUAAGAUGUUGCUGGUGGAACUGAUUCAGUCAAACGUUUGGCCGGGGACCGAAUCAAGUGACCAUCCAGCCAACCGGGAGCCCCGAGAAGAUAAUGAGGUAAAUUAAAUGCGAGAUUCAGGGUUGAUCGCAAUGGAGGAGUACUAUUGAGGACUUUUACAACUUCUCGGAGCCACAGGAAUCAAUAUGAACGUACCUCUUCAUCCAAAAAGGCAUCAGGAUGCUUGAGCAAAGUGUCGUAUAUCUUGAGAAGAUGCUCAGCACUUUGCAUUCUGUCUGCCGGUCGUCCAGCGGAAGAUAACAAAUAGUGCAGCAUUUCUUUUGUCUGGUGGAGGGGAAGCGUCCCUUCGCCUGGAUGUGAUGGUAGGGAGCGAAGGACCGCUCCAUACUGACGGGCUACGUUCGAUACGUUAUUCCAGGAAUACCCAAAGUAGAUGUGAGUGAACUGAAAUUUUAGGUGUUUUUUUAAUUUUUUUAUUGCUUUUGUAGGCAGACGAGCAUACGGCCCGCCUGAUGGUGAGUGGUUACCGUUGCCCAUGGACUUCCGCAAUUCCAGGGGCAGAGCCAAGUCGUUGUUUACCGCUGAAUAUCCAAAGUUAAGUGUUUGUGUAUGAUUUAUAAUCUAAAGUUCUCGUCCCCCGGGAACGAUGAACAAAUAUGGAGACUUAUAACUCGAAACAUUUUCAUUAAAAAUGUCUCUGUUGCUCAA